CGAUCAUUCCGCAGGAGGAGGACGGGAGGAAGACUCGCUGCUGCUGCUCCUCCUCCUCCUCUCUGGGAGACCCUCACGGUCCUCUGGGCGGCCUCCGUAGCCGAUCCGCCGGAGACACCUGAGCCUGCCUGAGCAGGAGGAAGAGGAAAGGAGGCUUCUGCAGCUGAGACCUGGUCCAGAGAGAUCCCCAGCAAACAGAAGAAGGUCUGCCUUGGUCCCUGUCCCGUCUGCACAGAAUGCGGAAUGGAGCACUGAUGAAGGCAAUCGAAAAGCUCACAAACGCUGUAGCUUCUGCAAUGUUUAUGGGUAUCCUGUGGGUAUCCGGCUCCUUUAAUCAUCUUUCCUAACGACACUUCGGAGGGAGAUGGCAUGAUGGUGAUAUUGUAUCGAUUUAUGAAAGCGGUGAUUAUGUUUACACCUUGAGAAAAAUAAUUUGGAACUUUAGACAAUUUUCCAGUCACCGAUCUGACAUCGAAUGUACAGGAAAGGAGACAACAGUUAAAGUUGUAAGCCUUUAUUGAAGUAAACUUGCGGAUAACAACGGAAGAGCAUUUUCAUUUGUAUCGGUGUUGCUGGAGCUCUCCCAUUGGAGAUAUCUGUAUGAUUUAUGACAAUUGUAUUUUAGACAUUUCUAUAUAUUGUAUAUCAUAGUUGUAAUACACGGAAGCCACUGCGCAGCA